rnacentral:rRNA from 1 species
GCAAGUCGAACGAGAAGCUCUAGCUUGCUAGAGUGGAUAGUGGCGAAAGGGUGAGUAACGCGUAUGCAACCUACCUUGUACAGGGGGAUAGCCCGGAGAAAUCCGGAUUAAUACCGCAUAAUAUGAUUGAUUCGCAUGGAUUAAUUAUUAAACUUUCGGGGGUACAAGAUGGGCAUGCGUAGCAUUAGUUAGUUGGUAAGGUAACGGCUUACCAAGACGAUGAUGCUUAGGGGGUCUGAGAGGAUAGUC